AUUGAACGCUGGCGGCAUGCCUUACACAUGCAAGUCGAACGGCAGCACGGGAGCAAUCCUGGUGGCGAGUGGCGAACGGGUGAGUAAUAUAUCGGAACGUGCCCAGUAGUGGGGGAUAACUGCUCGAAAGAGCAGCUAAUACCGCAUACGACCUGAGGGUGAAAGGGGGGGAUCGCAAGAUCUCUCGCUAUUGGAGCGGCCGAUAUCAGAUUAGCUAGUUGGUGGGGUAAAGGCCUACCAAGGCAACGAUCUGUAGUUGGUCUGAGAGGACGACCAGCCACACUGGGACUGAGACACGGCCCAGACUCAUACGGGAUGCAGCAGUGGCGAAUUUUGGACAGUGGGCGCAAGCCUGAUCCAGAAAUGCCGCGUGCAGGAAGAAGGCCUUCGGGUUGUAAACUGCUUUUGUCAGGGAAGAAAUCCUCUAGGUUAAUACCCUUGGGGGGAUGACGGUACCUGAAGAAUAAGCACCGGCUAACUACGUGCAAGCCGCCGCCGUAAUAC
rnacentral:rRNA from 1 species